CCUACGGGCGGCUGCAGUGGGGAAUAUUGCACAAUGGGCGCAAGCCUGAUGCGGCCAUGCCGCGUGUGUGAAGAAGGCCUUCGGGUUGUAAAGCACUUUCAGCGGGGAGGAAGGCGGUGAGGUUAAUAACCUCAUCGAUUGACGUUACCCGCAGAAGAAGCACCGGCUAACUCCGUGCCAGCAGCCGCGGUAAUACGGAGGGUGCAAGCGUUAAUCGGAAUUACUGGGCGUAAAGCGCACGCAGGCGGUCUGUCAAGUCGGAUGUGAAAUCCCCGGGCUCAACCUGGGAACUGCAUUCGAAACUGGCAGGUUAGAGUCUUGUAGAGGGGGGUAGAAUUCCAGGUGUAGCGGUGAAAUGCGUAGAGAUCUGGAGGAAUACCGGUGGCGAAGGCGGCCCCCUGGACAAAGACUGACGCUCAGGUGCGAAAGCGUGGGGAGCAAACAGGAUUAGAUACCCCUGUAGUC
rnacentral:rRNA from 1 species